GGCCUUAGCGCGGUGGUCCCACCUGACCCCAUGCCGAACUCAGAAGUGAAACGCCGUAGCGCCGAUGGUAGUGUGGGGUCUCCCCAUGCGAGAGUAGGGAACUGCCA
rnacentral:rRNA from 2 species